rnacentral:misc_RNA from 1 species
CAGUUAACAGCACUUGAUAAAAAAAUAAAUUCAAAUUGGAUAUGUCAAAUUUAACUUCAAUAAGUCAUAUAUACAUCAGAAGCAGAAUCACAAUGUUGACCUGAAAAAUUUUAAAGCUUUCAAGUCAUCAAGUUUAUAUCAAUUGUGAAGUCAGUCGAGAAAAAUCUCACAGUUCGUCAUGAUGUGUUUCCUCUGGCAAAGGAACUUCUGUUUGGAAUUCAAGAAGAUAGUUAGCAGCCAAUGAUGCAUGAAGUGCAGCACCAUGAGGAAGGACAUCUUCGUUAAUUUCAAAUAAGGGUGAGUGAGGAGAUUGAAGCUGUUUACGUGUCUCAUUCUGCAUUCCAAUAAAGAAGAAGUAUCCAGGAAUCACCUCUUGGUAAAAGGCAAAAUCCUCAGAUCCCAUUGAUGGUGGCAUAUCUUUAAUGUUAUCAAUGCCAAGCACACCUCCUGCAACAAUUUUGAAAUACUUGUGCAAUUGUUCAUUGUUCACAGUAGGAGGGUCAUUCUCAAGGAAAUCAAUAGAUGCUUUACACCUCUGUACAGAAGCUUGCCUUGUGAUAACCUGUUAUUGAACUUGAAACACACUUGGUAAUGAUGGAAUAUAGGGCAACGAAAUGGCAAACAUGAUUACAAGGUUGAAAGUACAAUGAAGAUGAUAGCGCAAAAAUGAUCAUAGUAGGCGGACAAGAGAUGACAAAAGAUGGGAAAAACAGAAGAAAAGGAAAGCAAGUUUUAUAAAUUAAGGUUGGAUUAAAGUAGAUUCAUUCAUAAAUCACAACGCUUGAGAACAAUCAUUAUUAAGAGUAUAAAGCUCAAAUUCAAUAAAAAUUGCCAUAUCAUAGUUAUAAUAAUUCACAAUUCAGCAGCAAUACCUCAUUGAUGCGCUGCCUAAGUUGCAUAAAGCUUUCUUUUGAAAAUGCUCGGAAGGUGCCACCAAUUUUAGCAGAAUCUGGAAUAACAUUGAACGCACCACCCCCUUGGAAUUUUGCAACGGUCACCACCUGUGAGUCCAGUGGAUCAGCUUCCCUUGAAACCAGAUGUUGUAAGCUCACAAUCACAUUAGAAGCUGCCAAUAUUGGGUCAAUUGAUUGCUGAGGAAUGGCAGCAUGACCUCCUUUUCCACUUAUUACCGCUUCAAAGAAGCCAUUCCCAGCCAGCAGAGGACCAGGUCUGGAAGCCACUUGACCUAUUGGCAACAUGGGAUCAACAUGCAACCCAAAGAUAGCAUUGACAUUCUCUAAAGCUCCUGCAUCUAUCAUUUUCUUUGCCCCACCACCUCCUUCCUCAGCUGGUUGGAAAACAAGAACAACAGUACCGUACUUUAACUCUUCCUGAUGCUCUUGAAGGAUCUUUGCAGCACCAAGAAGCAUAGUGACAUGAGCAUCAUGUCCACAAGCGUGCAUCGUCCCAGGAACUUUACUCUUGUGCUUCCACUCUACCAUUUCCUUCAUAGCAAGAGCAUCCAUGUCCGCUCUUAGCGCAACAAAAGGAGGUUUGCCAGUCCCAACGAAGCCAACAACACCAGUAACUGCAACUGGGUAUUUAUAUUUGAUACCCAUUUUAUCCAAUUCUGCUCUAAUAAGCUUACUGGUCUCAAAUUCCUCAUAACCCAGCUCUGGAUUCUCAUGUAUCUUCCUCCUCACACCCACCAUCCAAUUGACAAGCUCCUCUUUCUUGGCAUAAUUCAGAAACCUUAUUGAGAUAUCCAAUGCCAACCCAUUUAAGCUCAAAGCAGGGCUCAAUAAAUGCAAGAUGAACACCAAAAAAACCCAGCUAAAGACCUUCAUGGCUUCACAAAGAACUGAUGAGAUUAUAAAACAAAGAACAAAACUUUAAUAGAAAGAAAGGAUUUGGGCUACUAGAAGGAAUCGAUAACAGGAAGAAGACACUAUAGUUAUAGUUGCAGUAAUAGCGUUAAGUGGUUUCAGAAACGCGAAAAUUGAGGAAUGGGUGGUGGGGGAACCGUGAAGCAAUGUUCGUAGAAGUGGUCCUCACAGUUCAUAUGCUUCACAUUAACAACACAACCGGAGGAGAAGCCAUUUUUCCUUAUAAAAUGGAGUGGCG